rnacentral:rRNA from 1 species
UACAGAGGGUGCGAGCGUUAAUCGGAAUUACUGGGCGUAAAGCGCGCGUAGGCGGCCCUGUAAGUCAGUGCUGAAAUAUCCCGGCUUAACCGGGAGGGUGGCAUUGAUACUGCGGGGCUAGAGUACAGAUGAGGUAGGCGGAAUUGACGGUGUAGCGGUGAAAUGCUUAGAUAUCGUCAAGAACACCUAUAGCGAAGGCAGCUUACUAGGCUGUAACUGACGCUGAGGCACGAAAGUGUGGGGAUCAAACAGG